rnacentral:rRNA from 1 species
UAAAGAAUUUCGGUAUGGGAUGGGGAUGCGUUCCAUUAGUUAGUUGGCGGGGUAACGGCCCACCAAGACAACGAUGGAUAGGGGUUCUGAGAGGAAGGUCCCCCACAUUGGAACUGAGACACGGUCCAAACUCCUACGGGAGGCAGCAGUGAGGAAUAUUGGUCAAUGGACGAGAGUCUGAACCAGCCAAGUAGCGUGAAGGAUGACUGCCCUAUGGGUUGUAAACUUCUUUUAUAUGGGAAUAAAACGUUCCACGUGUGGGAUUUUGUAUGUACCAUAUGAAUAAGGAUCGGCUAACUCCGUGCCAGCAGCCGCGGUAAUACGGAGGAUCCGAGCGUUAUCCGGAUUUAUUGGGUUUAAAGGGAGCGUAGGUGGAUUGUUAAGUCAGUUGUGAAAGUUUGCGGCUCAACCGUAAAAUUGCAGUUGAAACUGGCAGUCUUGAGUACAGUAGAGGUGGGCGGAAUUCGUGGUGUAGCGGUGAAAUGCUUAGAUAUCACGAAGAACUCCGAUUGCGAAGGCAGUUCACUGGACUGCAACUGACACUGAGGCUCGAAAGUGUGGGUAUCAAACAGGAUUAGAUACCCUGGUAGUCCACA